UUACGGUCUCUGGUGACGUAGGGCUACGAAUACGGCCGUAACCGAAGAACGCUUUGAAAACAUCGCGUACGAUGUGUACAUCCGCAGAGAGCGCAGUGAGUCCGUCGUUAGAUAGAGACGUUGGUCAGUUCAGUGGACCUGGCCGGCUUGAGGGCGAAUCCGUCCCGACGUUAUCUGUUUUCACAGGAUGGAGAGCAGCGAGGACGAUAACGCCUAUUCUACACUCCGUAGCAAAAAUGGU